AGGGCUGCUGGGGGUUGGGGCAGAAUUCCAGGCCCACAGCGCCAGACGGGUCGCGCCGCCCUCCUGGCUCCGCGGCUUGUUCCGCGAGCCGGCCUUGCGCACUCGCUUUGCCCCUGGGCGGGCCUGGCGCCCGGGCCCCGCACCGCUGGCCGCCUGAGGAGAGCCGCUGGCCGCGGUCGCCGCCAGGAUGUUUGCAGAUGCCUUGAUCAAACUUGGGGACUUCAUUAAAAUGAAAUAAUGAACCACAAUUUAGGUGAAAGAGAUACUGGGAUAUUUCUGUAUCUUGAAGAUAAAGCAGAAAUCUUCUUUGGAGUAGAUGGAUUUUUCUCACUUUCUGUGAACUAAAGCGAUUCAAUGUCUCUUUUGGAUUGUUUCUGUACUUCACGAACACGAGUUGAAUCACUCAGACCUGAAAAACACUCUGAAACCAGUACCCAUCAAAACUUGGUAAGAAAAUAGUUAAGUACAA